ensembl:lncRNA
AUCUAGGGUUACUCAUUCAAGCAGAAUUGCUGCUUGAAACUCGCAGUUGAUGUUUCUCUGGUGUCUCUGCCUUGGCUUUGCAGAAAAUACAGAGCAGGCUCAGACUUGAGCUAGGAGUUGUCAGUGGGGAGUAAUACAGAGGUUUUUGAAGGCCAGUCUAGAAAUCCAGAUCUUGAGUAGGGCGUUUUCCUCAAGAUGUGUAACAAACAAAUUAUAGACACGUGAUAGGAGGGAAAACAGUGGAGUAUGUACUGAACUUCAAUACAGUAUGUAUUGAAAUGUAAGCUGUAUAAAAUGCGCACCUAUGGGAAAACAAAAGUUAGUCCUUGCAUGAAUUCAGAAUAGCACACCCUUGAUUUUUCAGUUUCUAUAGGAUUUAUUAAGUAGAAGCCUUUACUCCCAUUAGCACAGCAGAGUCAAACUGCACAAGAGUGUGCUGGAAUCCUCUACGCAUGUCAAUGAGUGUGUCCUACCAACAGCCUCAUUUUACAACCUGCACUUUCUACUGAAUGGGUAGGGACAGCUCUUUUCUCUCUUUAAGUCUCGCAGUGUGCUUUUACUGCUGUCAAGUAAGGACAAAACCAUUUCUUUCAUCAGGAACCAGCUUCGAAAUGGGAAGUGUGACCUUUUUCUUGUACGCUCUUGGAAGUUUUGCUUAAGCUGCUAACCAUAACUUGUUUCCUUCCCACCCCCUGUUCGUGUUCCCUGCAAUUAGGCUGCAGUUCAUCCUUAUCUUAGUUUCUUGCAGUGCUAUUUAGAAUAAUGCUACCUGUCAGUGUUUUAGGAGUGUGAAUAGAGCAGUGCAUAGAACUGUUCAAAUGGUAGCAGUUACUUCAAAGGCCAAAGGCGGUGUCUCCUUCGAGUGACUUCAUGACUACCUGGGCAAGUCAGACACAAAGCUCUUUCUUUAUUGCAGUUAUUUUCUGUUGAUCUCUUUCUUUGUGUCCUGUGGAACAGAACAGGCGGACAGACUCCAGCACUUACCCGCAGGUGGCAAUGGAGCUGCAGGCUGUGUCUCAUUGUUCAAGAAGCAUUUCAAGACAGUUUAUUUCUGUAGUACAGCAUGCCAUACAUUGAGUUAAAUGGGGAAAAGGGUAUUCUUUUAUCUCUCAAUGAGUUGCAGCCAAGAUCUGUAAUUGCCUAGCUCUUAAUGUUGCAUAACUGUUAGCAAGACUCAAGCCAAGCAUUAAUGAAUUUCAUCAGAACUUCAUUUUUUAAUGAGCAUCAUUAAUCGUUAGUCAUGCGUGCUGCAACCUACACUUCUCUAAAGUGGGGGUUUGCCAAUCGUCUUGCACUAUAAAAACAGCAGCAUAUUUUCCCCAGAUUUUAUCAGUAAAAUAACAACAUGAAAAGACUAAAAGACUGGAGCUAGGGAGAAAAAAAAAAAACACCUCCUUUAUUUGAACUUUUAAAUACUUGAGAUGCUCUCUGAAAGUUAGUCUGCAAUUUCUGCUUGUGAGCAGCUGCUGCUGCACUGCUUUCUUCUCUACAGGCUUUGAUAAUACUGUGAGAGCUCAUAUGAGAGCUGGUAGGGAUCUUACGUACCAAACUUGAGGGUUACACCUACCAUGGUUUCUUAAGAUGGAUUCACUGGGCUUCCUCUAGCUCUCGUUACAAACUCCCAUAAGUUUUUAAGGCAAAACUUCUUUUCAGCUUUGGAAAAAUGACAGCAAGUGAUCCACUGUCCAGUAUUUAUUCCUUAAGGUUGUGCCUAAAGGCCACAGAAGGAACAUCAGCUUCCUGACUGCUUUGAGCACUUGUCUGGAUUUAGCAAUUCAGGUGACUAGUCAGUGCCUCUCCUGAUUCGCUCCCCCAUCCCUCUGAGGGAGAGCAAGCGAAUGGCUCUUAACCUGCAGUUAAACCACACCAACAGCAAUACUUUAUUUGCACUGAACUGCCUUACAGCUCAUUCAUACUCCCUCUAUAACCAAGCGGAGCUGACUACUUGCAGAGGAACCAUCUCUGCUUGGAAAGCCACCAGGAGGAGGCUUGGCCUUCCCAGAAGUGCACCAACAGCAGCAAAGAGUCUCUUGCAACCACUUAGCUACCUCUUUCUGCUCCGCAGCUGGGAUUAAUGCCCAAUUCUGUGAGCAUUUUUCCUCUUCCUCCUGUUUGCUCCACUGCAAAGUCAGACAGCUUAGUAUAAACUCCCUUCAAAGAAGCAUUCCAGCUGCUGAAUCAGCUGAGAAGACAAAGAGCAAGGCUGGUGUGAAGCCCAUUCUGGAGCAGUGGAAACCAACAAAAUUAAAACAAACAAACAAAAAAUAUAUGAGGAAUCUGCACACAGGCAGCAGGAGCACUGCAAGAUAAAUUUACAUUUCAUAGUGGGAAACAAACCAUCCCACAAAGAUACGAUAAAUCAUCAGAGGAACAACGAGGUGCCAUGACACAUGCAUAUGUUUUUCUACAGUCACAUGAAAUGAAGAUAUGAGGCACACAACCCAAUCUCCAUCUCAAAGGUUUGUUAACCAUAACCAAGCCUGUCUGCAUAAAGAGCAGCCUUGCUGAAAUUUCAAGUAUAGACUUUUUUUUUUUUCCAACAGCAGUUCCCCAAUUCUUUUUUUUUUAUUAAUGUGUCUUGGUCAAUCCACUAACCUAGUUUUCAAAUCACAAGGAUUCUUAAGACUUUGUUAUAUAGGCACAAUGGCAACAUAGACUUACUUCUAGUGAUAUUUUGAUUACAAGGAGGAAAAAAGGCUGCAAUUUUAGCAAAACAAGUUUUGUAACAAGAUUAUUCAUUCUGGUUCAACAUCACUGACUUUUGUGAACAUAGACGAGAAAGAAGUUUGGACAAAUCAGUUUGUAGAAACAAAUGAAAAAUUCACAUAGAAAUAUUAUUUUGAUCAAGAAGUAAUUUCCAUGAAAGCAAACAAACAAAUUCCAUAUAAAAACAUGUUGAUUUCCUCCUUUUUUUUCUUUUUUCUUUUUUCUUUUUUUUUGUUUUUGUUUUUGUUUUAAGUUUAUCUUUUUUUUUCCCCAUAGAAAACCCAACCAACGCAUUUUAGUUUGGCUUUGUUUGACCCAAAUUAGGGUAUGGGGGAGGGGUGUUGAAAACUGAGCCAGAUUGUUUCAAAUCAACUGGCUUGGCAUAAAACUACAUUUCCUACCAAUGCUUUUGCUUUGCCAAUCAUAGCUUCAAUUCCCCAUCUCUUUUGGGCCAGCCUCCCUAGAAGACCAUAUAUCCUAUAAAGUAAUAAAUGGAUUUCACUGACACAUGGCUUGUCUACGAGAUAAUUAAUUCUCAGUAAGCGAGGAUAUGAAUUUACAGUGUACUAGCUAUGCUGCACUGACUGUCCAUAUGGACAUUCUAAUUGCAUUGUGGCUUACUCUAUCUAAAGAACAUUAAGGAUAUUACUACGCAGGCUCGUUACUAGGAAGAAAGCGAGGAUAAGGGUUUACUACUCUCUAUGGCACUAGCUGCUAUGCUUGAAUUGCCUUGGUGAGCACUCCUUUCUUGGAGUAAUGUGACAGAGCCCUGAGUAUCCAGGAUGGACUUGCUGUAGACUAAUUCUGUAAAUUCAGAACCUGAGCUGGCCUCUUCAGGGAAAUAUUGAUCCAUAUGAUGCAUCAUACUCCAGAUUAUGAAGCGGCUUACUUGCUCUGCGCACUUUCAAUUCCCUCCUGUGUGCCACCAUAUGGAAGAGAGACAUGUAUAGAUUCAUCCCUUCCCAAGAUACAAUUCAGUAUGCAUCCACUGAUCAAUCUCUUCAGUUUUUCAGAACAUACUGCAUGAGGGUCAUGUUCAACACAAUUGCCUUUUCCUUGCUGUGGUUUGAUUCUUCCAAAAUGCCUAACCAGUUUGAGCAAACUUCAGAUGAUAACUGUUCAGGUAAUUC